UUCAUUUGGGUGAAUCUGAAAAUGUUCUCUUGAUAAAAAAUAAAAUCUCAUAAAUAAUAAUUUUCAUGUAGAACAAGGUACAAUUUUUUUUUCCUUGCUAGAAGCAUGUGCUUUGAAUCCAACACUUACUGUAGUCUCUGUUUUGCUGCAGUAGGAUUUCUGAAUUAAUAAUGGGUUAUAGACUUAUAUGUAUUGGAAUAUGGAUGAGCAUAAUUGUAGAAUCUUAUUUUAGUUGACCUAUGCAAAGCCUUGUUCUAAGCCAAUUUAAUUUAUAAUAAAAUUACAAUGAAUUCAAAUUUGAUGUUUCUCAUGGUAAAGUUUUUGAAUUUAAUAGCUUAGUGUUUAGUUGUUGAGCUAUUUCAAAUGCUAGUCGAACUUGAGCUAUUUCAAAUGCUCAAGUGCUCAGUCAUUGUUGAGAAGGUGGAGUCUAAGUCAUGCUCCCAGUGGAGGGUUACCCCUGUUCCUAAUGAGUUUGAUUAAUUGGCUCAUAACAAGGUCUAUCCAUACGUACUUUCAACACAUAAACUAUUUUUAAGAAAGAAUUUGUUAAGUAACCAGUUUAAUGAAUAAAUCCUUGUCUUUAAGAUUCUAACUGUACAUCUUUGAAGCUGCAGGUGUAUGGUGAUUUAGGAAGAUUGUGGUGAUGCAGCUGUGGAGACUUUGAAUCAGUUCCUUGGUUGGUGCAAGCUCUCAUUAUUUUUCGUAAGCUACAUUUAAAACUUAUCUGAGAAGUUGAAAAAACACAGAAUCAAGCAAGAGGUCUUGUGCGAUAAAAAGAGCGUUUGGCUGUUAUGAAGACAAGUUCAUUCCAAUUCCUAUUCCUCUCAUUGAUCUCCAUCAUCAGGCAUUCCUACAAGUAAAUCUGGGUUAUCAUCAUCACUUGUAUCGUAAUUUCUUUUGCUUCUGUGAGCAUCACCACUUGUGCUCUAUAUAUUAUGGUUCGUUCUAAGCUCACUUUUGUCCUUCAAAUUGAUACCUA